UCCUGGGUGGCUCAGUAGGUAGAGCACGUGAUUCUUAAUCUUGGGGUUGUGAGUUAAAGACUCACUUUGAGCA
rnacentral:tRNA from 1 species